rnacentral:lncRNA from 1 species
UUUAGUUAAAAGUCUGCUCUGAAUUGAAGCAGGAAGUUUCCUCCAUGGACUGCGUCUGUUUGCUUUUUGUUUGUGUGUUAAAUGAGAACUGGUGUGCUGGUAAACCCGCGCAUCUGCUGUAAAGUGUGACAUUCACGGUCUCAAGGUCAUUACCACAGACUAAGCAUUUACAAAGGGCCAGUGUGAUGGCUAAUUUCGUGUGUCAACCUGACUGGCCUAGGGAUGCCCAGACACCUAGUAAGACAUUAUUUCUGGGCGUGUCUGUGAGGCUUUUUCUGGAAGAGAUUAGCAUUUGGUUCAGUACACUGAGUAGAGAAACGCCCUCCCCAGUGUGGGCGGCAUCAUCCAGUCGUAUGGGGGCCCAAAUGGAACAAAACGGUGAAGGAAGGGCAAUUCUCUCUCUUCUGGAGCUGAGCUGUCCACCUUCUCCCGCCCUCGGACGUCUGAGCUCCUGCUUCUUGGGCCUGAGGCCUCCGGGACUUGCACCAGCAGCUGCCCUGGUUCUCAGGCCUUUGGAUUCAGAUGGAGUUACACCGCUGGUUCUCUGGCUCUGCAGCUGGCGGACAGCAGACUGUGGGACUUCUCAGCCUCCGCAACCACGUUCUGGAACUUCAGAUGGCUCAGCUUUACUUCUGCCUUUAACAUGAAAACAGCAGCAGCAGAGACGACCGCACUACUCAAACCACAUCCGCCCAGCCCUUCACAGCCUUCCCCACAGGCGGAUGAGGGAGAGAUGGAGAAACCGAGGCCGAAGGCCACAGUCUGGCCCCGGAGAGGAGGCUGCUGUCUUCGUCCAGGACGAGAGCCCUCGCCAGGGACAGAAUGUGCCGGCACCUUGAUCCUGGGCUUCCCAGCCUCCGGGACUGGAAUAAACAUCUGCCGUUUAGGCAACCUGGCCCAUGGUUUUCUUAUCUUCUGUUACACCUGAGCUAAGACAGUGUGCGAGUGUGUGAGAGAGGGAGCGUGUCUGUAGGAGAGAGUGUGUGCGAGAGUGUGUGUAUUUAUGCGCAUAUUUGAAAGUGAGUUGGAGAGAGCGUGUGCUUUUGCCCACUAAUACUUCUGUGUAUAUUUCCUAAGAAAAAGGAUAGUGCUUUAUGCAACCGUAGCACAGUUAGCAAAAUCUGCAAAUUUAACAUCGAUACAAUACUAUUACUCAAUCCACAGACCAUGUCUAAAUCUCAUCAAUCCGCACCACAAAGGAAUGCCCUUUAUAGCUCUGCUCUGUCUCUUUAGCCUUCUUUAAGUUUGGACAGCUCCUCAUCUUUUUUCAGUGAGAGUUGACCUUGGCGUUUUUGAGGAGUACAACCCAGUUCAUUUUAUAGAAUGUUUAUCCAUUU